UUUGGGAGGUGACAGGAGGGCUGUUUCUGACCCCUUUGUAGUGUGCAGAGAUGCGUGUCCCACUCGCGUGCGGCUGGAGUCACGUGUGAUUCAUGGCUCACGUGUGUGUAGUGAUUCACAUGGAUGAUGCACAAGUAGGAAUGCAGGUGCCCUGCGUCCAGUUCUGGCUUACAGAGAGGAGGAAAGGGUCUUGGGGAAGUUGGGGAGCGCGCCGACAAGGGCUCCAAGGCAUCAGUCAGCCCCUGACCAGGAGCAGAUCAGUGUCCCAAUCAUACAGGCGUCACCUAGUCCCUGUCUCCCUCUCAGCAUCUGGUCCCUCCCUUCUCAGUGGGACCCAAGCUCCUGAUACGUAUCUGGGUGAACCCAGUCCUGCCAGUCAGAGGGACCGGCUGUGCCAGAGGCAAACAAACAACUAUUUGGGCGAAAGGCUGUGGGCGGGAAGAGGGAGCCCUCAGCUAGCAAGGACAGAGCUUCUGGAAAGAGAGAGCCAGCGAGCCCUAGAGCACCCCAGAGAGAGCUGGGCUUUUCCUCAGAGACCUAUCCUGCCCCCCAAGCCCUCACACCACAGCUCAGCAGCCCAGCAGCCCAGCCCUUCCCGGCCUGUGGCUCACCUCCUCCAGGCCGGCUGCCAGAGGCAUCCUUCCGUCCCUCCCAUCAUGGCUGUGUACCGCGUGUGCGUGACCACUGGUGCCUACCUGAUGGCCGGCACACUGGACAACAUUUCUGUCACACUGGUGGGCACGUGUGGUGAGAGCCCCAAGCAGCGGCUGGAUCGCGUGGGCAGGGACUUCGCCCCUGGAUCGGUGCAGAAGUACAAAAUACGCUGUUCAGAGGAGCUGGGUGAGCUCUUGCUGCUGCGGCUCCACAAAGAGCGUUGCACUCUCUUCCCCAAGGACUCCUGGUACUGCAGCCGCAUCUGCGUCACUGACCCCGGUGGUACCCUUUCCCACUUCCCCUGCUAUCAGUGGAUUGAGGGCUACUGCACCAUAGAGCUUCGACCAGGAACAGCGAGAACUAUUUGUCAGGACUCCCUGCCCCUCCUUCGGGAUCACAGGACACGGGAACUCCAGGCCCGACAGGAAUGCUACCGCUGGAAAAUCUAUGCCUCCGGCUUCCCCCGAAUUAUAGAUGUCAGCAGCUUUGAGGAGAUGGAGUCAGAUAGGAAAUUUGCCUUGACCAAGACGGCACCUUGUGCAGACCAGGGUGACAGCAGUGGAAAUCGGUACCUGCCUGGCUUCCCCAUGAAAAUUGACAUCUCGUCCUUGCUGUACAUGGAGCCCAAUAUUCGCUACUCGGCCACCAAGACGACCUCGCUGCUCUUCAACGCCAUCCCUGCGUCCUUGGGCCUGAAGCUUCGAGGGCUGCUAGACCGCAAGGGCUCCUGGAAGAAGCUGGACGACAUCCGGAAUAUCUUGUGUUGCCACAAGACCUUCACCUCAGAGUACGUCACGGAGCACUGGUGUGAAGACCACUUUUUCGGGUACCAGUAUCUGAAUGGUGUCAAUCCUGUCAUGCUCCACUGCCUCUCCAGCCUGCCCCUCAAGCUGCCUGUCACCAAUGACAUGGUGGCCCCCUUGCUGGCACCAGGCACCUGCCUGCAGACAGAACUAGAGAGGGGGCACAUCUUCCUAGCCGACUACUGGAUCCUGGCGGAGGCCCCCGUCCACUGCAUCAACGGCCGCCCGCAGUACGCGGCCGCUCCGCUCUGCCUCUUGUGGCUCAACCCCCAGGGGGCGCUGGUGCCCUUGGCCAUCCAGCUCAGCCAGACCCCCGGGCCCGACAGCCCCAUCUUCCUGCCCACUGACUCCGACUGGGACUGGCUGCUGGCCAAGACGUGGGUGCGCAACUCGGAGUUCCUGGUGCACGAGAACAACACGCACUUCUUGUGCACGCAUUUGCUGUGCGAGGCCUUCGCCAUGGCCACGCUGCGUCAGCUGCCGCUCUGCCACCCCAUCUACAAGCUCCUGCUUCCCCACACGCGCUACACGCUGCAGGUGAACACCAUCGCACGGGCCACGCUGCUCAACCCAGACGGCCUGGUGGACAAGGUCACGUCCAUCGGGAGGCAAGGCCUCCUCUACCUCAUGAGCACCGGUCUGGCCCACUUCACCUACACCAGUUUCUGCCUUCCGGACAGCCUGCGGGCCCGCGGCGUCCUGGAAAUUCCCAACUACCACUACCGAGACGACGGCCUGAAGAUCUGGGCGGCCAUUGAGAGUUUUGUCUCAGAAAUCGUGGGCUACUAUUAUCCCAGUGAUGCGUCUGUGCAGCAGGAUUCGGAGCUGCAGGCCUGGGUUGGAGAGAUCUUUGCUCAGGCGUUCCUGGGCCGGGAAAGCUCAGGCUUCCCACGCCAGCUGUGCACCCUGGGAGAGCUAGUGAAGUUCCUCACUGCAAUCAUCUUCAACUGCUCCGCCCAGCACGCCGCCGUCAACAGUGGACAGCAUGACUUUGGGGUCUGGAUGCCCAAUGCCCCGUCAUCCAUGAGGCAGCCCCCACCGCAGACCAAGGGGGCCACCACCCUGAAGAGUUACCUAGACACCCUCCCGGAAGUGAACACCACCUGUAACAACAUUCUCCUCUUCUGGUUGGUCAGCCAAGAGCCCAAGGAUCAGCGGCCCCUGGGCACCUACCUGGACGAGCACUUCACCGAGGAGGCCCCGCGCCAGAGCAUCACCGUCUUCCAGAACCGCCUGGCUCAGAUCUCGCGAGACAUCCGGGAGCGGAACCGGUGCCUGGAGCUGCCCUACGCCUACCUGGACCCACCCCUCAUCGAGAACAGCGUCUCGAUUUAACCCCCUCCUCCUUCCACCCGAAAAGCCCAAGCGUGAGGAGGCCCAGCUUCUCAGGGUCCUCCGGGCCCUUCCGUCUUCCCUGUUCUCGGUCAGCCUGAACUUUCUCUGCACGUGGGGACGUUUUCCACCCAAGUUGGAUCUAGCAUCACACGAACCGAGCCCUGAGCUGUGAGGGACCCGUACAGCGGUGUCCACGGUGGGUGGGGUACCAGGGGAUUAGAGAAAGAAGGAGCAGCAAUGAGUCCCUGGACCAGCUGCUCUGGAGACAGGAAGCCUCCCAGCUCAAACCACUGCCUGGCCAGACCCUACAUUCCUUCACCUCCCAGAGUGUGUCAUCCAUCAGGAGGUGGAGGAAUGUCCAGACUCAAGGGGCCGAUACAAAAAAAGUAGGUAUUUUGCAAAGCCUGAGAAUCCAAAACUUCUGGGUGUGGGACUUGUUAGCACUGCCACUGAGAUCUAGUUCCUCUUCUGGACAUGUGGAAGACUCAACCUCUGGCUCUUUUGUGCAUGGGUAGAGUCAUAGAUGAGUUUUGUCCAACAAGGUCUGAGCAGAAGUGCGGUGGGUCAUCUCCAGGCUGGAGCAUUUAAAUGCUGGCAUGAGCCCUCCAGAGUUCUUUGCUCUCUGCCUCUCUGUUCUAGAAACAUGUGAUGAGAUGGUGCUUCCAUCCAUCAGCUUCCGUCUCUCAGGGACUAGAGCAGAGCCCCCUGCUGACCUGAGCUGGGCAUGGAGCUGAGUGAGAAAUAAACUUUUGCUGGGUCAAGCCAUUGAGAUUUUG